AUUGAACGCUGGCGGCAGGCCUAACACAUGCAAGUCGAACGGUAACAGGAAGCAGCUUGCUGCUUUGCUGACGAGUGGCGGACGGGUGAGUAAUGUCUGGGAAACUGCCCGAUGGAGGGGGAUAACUACUGGAAACGGUAGCUAAUACCGCAUAACGUCGCAAGACCAAAGAGGGGGACCUUAGGGCCUCUUGCCAUCGGAUGUGCCCAGAUGGGAUUAGCUAGUAGGUGGGGUAACGGCCCACCUAGGCGACGAUCCCUAGCUGGUCUGAGAGGAUGACCCGCCACACUGGAACUGAGACACGGUCCCGACUCCUACGGGAGGCCGCCGUGGGGAAUAUUGCACAAUGGGCGCAAGCCUGAUGCAGCCAUGCCGCGUGUAUGAAGAAGGCCUUCGGGUUGUAAAGUACUUUCAGCGGGGAGGAAGGGAGUAAAGUUAAUACCUUUGCUCAUUGACGUUACCCGCAGAAGAAGCACCGGCUAACUCCGUG
rnacentral:rRNA from 1 species